GGAUUGCAGCCUGCAACUCGGCUGCAUGAAGCUGGAAUCGCUAGUAAUCGCGGAUCAGAAUGCCGCGGUGAAUACGUUCCCGGGUCUUGUACACACCGCCCGUCACACCAUGGGAGCCGGAAACGCCCGAAGCCAGCGGCCCAACCGCAAGGGGGGAGCUGUCGAAGGCGGGUCCGGUGACCGGGGUGAAGUCGUAACAAGGUAGC
rnacentral:rRNA from 1 species